UGAUACUUCACCAUACAAUACAACCAUGGCUGACUUAUUGCCGGAAUGUCUCUUUCAAAAAAUACUCUGUUUGAUUAGUUUUAAAGAAGCAUCCAAGAUGAACAUUCUCUCGAAAACAUGGCUGCAAGCGUGGUCGACUCUUCCUAACUUGGGAUUCUUUGUUAAUAGUUGGCAAGGCUGGGAAGCCCAUAUAAAUAUAGCGGAC
rnacentral:lncRNA from 1 species